GACGAACGCUGGCGGCGUGCUUAACACAUGCAAGUCGAACGAAGAGCGAUGGAAGCUUGCUUCUAUCAAUCUUAGUGGCGCACGGGUGAGUAACGCGUAAUCAACCUGCCCUUCAGAGGGGGACAACAGUUGGAAACGACUGCUAAUACCGCAUACGAUCUAAUCUCGGCAUCGAGGAUAGAUGAAAGGUGGCCUCUACAUGUAAGCUAUCACUGAAGGAGGGGAUUGCGUCUGAUUAGCUAGUUGGAGGGGUAACGGCCCACCAAGGCGAUGAUCAGUAGGCGGUCUGAGAGGAUGAACGGCCACAUUGGGACUGAGACACGGCCCAGACUCCUACGGGAGGCAGCAGUGGGGAAUCUUCCGAAAUGGAGGAAAGUCUGACGGAGCAACGCCGCGUGAGUGAUGACGGCCUUCGGGUUGUAAAGGUCUGUUAAUCGGGACGAAAGGCCUUCUUGCGAAUAGUGAGAAGGAUUGACGGUACCGGAAGAGAAAGCCACGGCUAACUACGUG
rnacentral:rRNA from 1 species